GAUACCUUUCUUGGAAACACCAGUCAAUCGGAGAAAAUCAAUACGCUCUGUACGCUUCAGAAUACGGGUUGCAGUGAACUGGAAAAGUCCUCGGGCAGUGAGAAACUUUUCCAGGCACGAAAUUCGAAGUCACUGAUGUGAAAGCGAUGACAGGAAAUCCCAUUUAUAACUGACUUAAAGACUGUUAAGGGAUUUGUUAACGCUAGAAUUAAUAUUAUUGCUACCACAGAGGAAAUUGAGAUUUGUUCAAGAAGAUAAUUGGUUUCAGCCCGGCUGCCUGCUCAUGCCGUUCUCCCGGAACAAUUUGAUAGUCUGGAAACUUCCAGAUUUUUUCAUAUGGAGAUUAUAAUUCAUUUACGGAUGUGCUCCUGGCAUACGUGGAGCUCGAGGAUAAGCAAAUACCGACAACUGUGAGCAUUUAACAUCGAGGGUUUCAAGAGCCUUGGAAGUUGACAUCUCCGUCGCCAGUUUUUUAAAAUCUGACUGCAAAAUUGUCAGAAGAGAUAAUGAGAAUAACGAGGUAGAAUGAGUCGAUUUCAAAUGAUGCCUGGUCUGACAAACCUUCUGCUGGUGUUAUGAGAACAGCCAGAUGUUGAGGGAAAAGAGCAAUGUCAAGCGAUCUGCCAUGAAAAGGGAUGUCCAUACCCUGUUCGAAGGCUCCUGGUUUGACACUGGUUGGAAGGAUGCUGGCAAAUGUCGUGCAAGUGCAGAGAGCUGAAGAUGCCGAGGAAGUAGGCUUUCCAGGAUGAAAGAGGUAAGAGAUGCUCUGCUAGAUGGAAACCUCCUCUACAGGGGCACUUUACACUAAAUUUUGAUGGGGCCUCUCGUGGUAACCCUGGGCCGACUGGGGUAGGCAUGGUAAUUUAUGAUCACAAUGCAAAUUUUAUUCGAGCUAAGUGUCAUGCUAUUGGUUUUAAAACUAACAAUUAUGCGGAAUUUCAUGCUUUUGUCUUUUGGAUUGGAUAUGGCAAUCUCUUUGGGAAUUAAGGACUUAAUAAUUGAAGGUGAUUCUAUGGUGAUUAUUCAAUGUGUUAUGAAAAAGAAAUCGAAUUGUUAGAAUUUGCAGUAUAUACUUGAUCCCAUUUUACAAAAAUUAGAAUUGUUUGAAUCUUUAUUGGUAUCCUAUUGUUACAGAGAAGUUAAUAAGAUUGCGGAUUAUUUGGCAAAUUUAGCCAUUGAUAGCAAUGCUAAUCAUUGAGAGGUGGGUUUUGAGGAAAUUCCUUCUAGGGUAUGGGAAGGUUUGCAGCAAUAGUUAUAUGAUUUUUUUGAGUAAUGUUGAUGUAAAAUUUUAUGAUGAUAAUUAUUCUCGCUUUCCCCUUUCAUUUCAAGUAUUAAUGCUCGUUGUCUAGAGGAGAGUUCGAGCUCAUGGUAUUUGAUACAAUAGUGUUUUUCCAAAGGUUUUUUGAUACUUU